rnacentral:rRNA from 1 species
UACAGAGGGGGCAAGCGUUGUUCGGAAUUACUGGGCGUAAAGGGCGCGUAGGCGGCCUGUUAAGUCGAACGUGAAAUCCCCGGGCUCAACCCGGGAACUGCGUCCGAUACUGGCAGGCUUGAAUCCGGGGAGAGGGAUGCAGAAUUCCAGGUGUAGCGGUGAAAUGCGUAGAUAUCUGGAGGAAUACCGGUGGCGAAGGCGGCAUCCUGGACCGGCAUUGACGCUGAUGAGCGAAAGCUAGGGGAGCAAACGGG